UACAGAGGGUGCGAGCGUUAAUCGGAAUUACUGGGCGUAAAGCGCGCGUAGGCGGCUUUUCAAGUCGAUUGUGAAAUCCCCGGGCUUAACCUGGGAACUGCAGUCGAGACUGUCUAGCUAGAGUAUGGGAGAGGGAAGUGGAAUUUCAGGUGUAGCGGUGAAAUGCGUAGAUAUCUGAAGGAACAUCAGUGGCGAAAGCGACUUCCUGGACCGGCAUUGACGCUGAGGAGCGAAAGCCAGGGGAGCAAACGGG
rnacentral:rRNA from 1 species